rnacentral:lncRNA from 1 species
AGAUCUUGCCUUCCUGCAUUGACAGCGAAGCAGAUCGAAGACACAAACCUUGCCUCUCUCGGUUGUAGUGGAGCUGGUUGAAGACAACAGAUCUUGCCUUCUUGCAUUGACAGCGAAGCAGAUCGAAGACACAAACCUUGCCUCUCUCGGUUGUAGCGGAGCUGGUUGAAGACAACAGAUCUUGCCUUCCUGCAUUGACAGCGAAGCAGAUCGAAGACACAAACCUUGCCUCUCUCGGUUGCAGCGGAGCUGGUUGAAGACAACAGAUCUUGCCUUCCUGCAUUGACAGCAAUGCAGAUCGAAGACACAAACCUUGCCUCUCUCAGUUGUAAUGGAGCUGGUUGAAGACAACAAAUCUUGCCUUCCUGCAUUGACAGCGAAGCAGAUCGAAGACACAAACCUUGCCUCUCUCGGUUGUAGUGGAGCUGGUUGAUGACAACAGAU